rnacentral:rRNA from 1 species
CAGUCGAGCGAAUGAUGAGGAGCUUGCUCCUCUGAUUUAGCGGCGGACGGGUGAGUAACACGUGGGUAAUCUGCCUGUAAGACGGGGAUAACUCCGGGAAACCGGGGCUAAUACCGGAUAAUAAGAGAAGAAGCAUUUCUUCUUUUUGAAAGUCGGUUUCGGCUGACACUUACAGAUGAGCCCGCGGCGCAUUAGCUAGUUGGUGAGGUAACGGCUCACCAAGGCGACGAUGCGUAGCCGACCUGAGAGGGUGAUCGGCCACACUGGGACUGAGACACGGCCCAGACUCCUACGGGAGGCAGCAGUAGGGAAUCUUCGGCAAUGGGCGAAAGCCUGACCGAGCAACGCCGCGUGAGCGAUGAAGGCCUUCGGGUCGUAAAGCUCUGUUGUUAGAGAAGAACAAGUACGAGAGUAACUGCUCGUACCUUGACGGUACCUAACCAGAAAGCCACGGCUAACUACGUGCCAGCAGCCGCGGUAAUACGUAGGUGGCAAGCGUUAUCCGGAAUUAUUGGGCGUAAAGCGCGCGCAGGCGGUCUCUUAAGUCUGAUGUGAAAGCCCACGGCUCAACCGUGGAGGGUCAUUGGAAACUGGGAGACUUGAGUGCAGGAGAGAAAAGUGGAAUUCCACGUGUAGCGGUGAAAUGCGUAGAGAUGUGGAGGAACACCAGUGGCGAAGGCGGCUUUUUGGCCUGUAACUGACGCUGAGGCGCGAAAGCGUGGGGAGCAAACAGGAUUAGAUACCCUGGUAGUCCACGCCGUAAACGAUGAGUGCUAGGUGUUGGGGGGUUCCACCCUCAGUGCUGAAGUUAACACAUUAAGCACUCCGCCUGGGGAGUACGACCGCAAGGUUGAAACUCAAAGGAAUUGACGGGGGCCCGCACAAGCAGUGGAGCAUGUGGUUUAAUUCGAAGCAACGCGAGAACCUUACCAGGUCUUGACAUCCUUUGACCACUCUAGAGAUAGAGCUUUCCCCUUCGGGGGACAAAGUGACAGGUGGUGCAUGGUGUCGUCAGCUCGUGUCGUGAGAUGUUGGGUUAAGUCCCGCAACGAGCGCAACCCUUGA